AACUUUCAACAACGGAUCUCUUGGUUCUGGCAUCGAUGAAGAACGCAGCGAAAUGCGAUAAGUAAUGUGAAUUGCAGAAUUCAGUGAAUCAUCGAAUCUUUGAACGCACAUUGCGCCCGCCAGUAUUCUGGCGGGCAUGC
rnacentral:rRNA from 1 species